GGAGAGCUGUCCGAGUGGCUGAAGGAGCACGCCUGGAAAGUGUGUAUACGUUAGUAGCGUAUCGAGGGUUCGAAUCCCUCGCUCUCCG
rnacentral:tRNA from 1 species